rnacentral:rRNA from 1 species
AUUGAACGCUGGCGGCAGGCCUAACACAUGCAAGUCGAGCGGAGCGGCGGACGGGUGAGUGAUGCCUAGGAAUCGGCCUGGUCGUGGGGGAUAACGUCAGGAAACGGGCGCUAAUACCGCAUCCUUUCAGUUGAGCCUCGGUCGGUUUAGCUAGUUGGUGGGGUAAAGGCUUACCAAGGCGACGAUCCGUAACCGGUCUGAGAGGAUGAUCCGUCACACUGGAACUGAGACACGGUCCAGACUCCUACGGGAGGCAGCAGUGGGGAAUAUUGGACAAUGGGCGAAAGCCUGAUCCAGCCAUGCCGCGUGAGUGAAGAAGGUCUUCGGAUUGUAAAGCGCUUUUGGUGGGGAAGCGGUACCAACAGAAUAAGCACCGGCUAACUUCGUGCCAGCCGCCGCGGUAAUAC